rnacentral:lncRNA from 1 species
UUUGAAUAGGCUUAAGUAUGGACCUCGGUGUACGCCUACUGAUCCAAUGACCCAUUUACUUGAGGUGAUGGUUAUCCAAUAUUUUGGCUAAGUUAUACAAUACGUGGUUUAUCAUUAUCUUCGGCAGGUGGUACACGGCAACGAUAAAAAGCAUGCAUCUCUUGAAAAAUAUAAUUAAUUAUAAGUAUCGGUAGACGACAUAUGGCAGUUGCAAAUAACAUGUGGCCCUCGAUAAGAGACAGGUGUCCAUUAGCAGGUAGUGCUUAAUCUUUGGUAGGGAGCACAUGGCACUCAACAUGCGGCAUAUCUCCUUCGGCAAAUAG